rfam:Rattus norvegicus chromosome 18, whole genome shotgun sequence.
AGGGCUGUUGUUCAGUGGUAGAGCACUUGCCUAAAAUGUGUGAGACCUUGGGCUCAAUCCCCACAGCCCUU